rnacentral:lncRNA from 1 species
AUGGUCCUCCCUAAUUUUGAGUUUGAGAUAUUUAUAAUACUCAUUUGGUCAGACUAAAACAAAAAGAGAAAAGGUUUUGUUUUGUUUCCUAAUAAAAAAAUGGGAGUGGAAGAAGACUGAUUAUUACUCAAAAUUGUGGAGGAGACUUUUUUAAUAUGAGUUUUUUGUUUUAUUUUGCAUAAGACUUUUUUUUUAAUCUUUGAUAAUCCUAAUUAGUAAAAGAAAGUUGUGUGAUUGAGAUUCAAUUAUAAAUAUUAUUUUUUAAUAUGUAAUUGAAUCAAUAAUCUAAUUUUUUAACUACUUUGAAUUCUCUUUCUCUUCUCUUCUCUCUAUUCUUUUACUUUGUUGUUUUUUUUUAUUAUCAGAAAAUCGAUCCUACUCUAUUUUUUUAGGCAUCAUUUCACAAUAAUAUGUAAUUUGAAUUUUAGUCUUUUAACUUAAGACUUGUAUAGAAUAUAGAACUUUGUCUUUUAAUAUGUUUUUU